CUCAUCCAAUAAAUCAUGACCUGCAAACAUCAGCCACUGUGUCCUCUUGGUUAUCACAGAAAUAAGGAUUCCUGUUCCUUUUCUUCCUUCCUUUGUAGCAAGGUAGCACCCAGGGAUUAUUUUAUGAAGGAGAAGAAUUAAAAGCUGCAAGAUAUUUUUGUAGCUAGAGUUAAAAUGCUACUUUGGGAUCGUGAAUGUCAUUUGAAAGACUUCACCCAAAUGUGGUUCCAGGAGCAUAGGAUGAUUGAACACUUCUUUGACUCCUUGUGUGGUUCGGGCCAAUGGAAAGAGAGGUGUGAUAUGGAAUUGUGUCCUUUGCUGGAAAACAUGCUGGAGACAGGAAUGAUAUUCUGAAGGAGAAUGGAUGCUCGGUCAAUAUGUGCUUUGUUUUAGGAAACCACCAGAACUGAGAGGCAAGUAAGCAGGUGAUGUCCCAAAAACAGAAUAUUGCUGAAGAUCUAUUGAUUCCUCAUAGCUGGAGUGAUGCCAAUAGAACACUAUUUCCCACGAACAAAGGCUUGGUGUUCACAGACAUACAUAUGUAUACACAAGAAGUGGGAUACAGGAUUGAAUACAUGUACUUCUCAAAGUCAUUUUAUGAGUCUACUACCAUCUUAAACCACAUCCUUGCUCACUAUUUAAACUUGGCAGCAAGUAGCACUGCAACUUAUAUCAGUAUGCUAGCAUUACCACCAGUCUUGAUAAUGCCCAGUCAAAGUCUCAUUGCUACCAGAAAGAAUCUAUAUGAGAUUAGAAAUGAGAUUAACCAGAUGCAGUUCUGCAUCCUUUUAAUCUCAACUUCCCGAGAGGCUGAGGCUGAAAGAUUAGAAGUCAUAUCAGUCUGGGAUACAUAGUGAGACUCUGUUAAACAGAAUAAGAGGCAAGAAGAAUGGAAGGAACAAAGAAAGAAUGAGAAGAAAGAAGAAAGGUGGGGAGAUGACCUCCCACAUUUAUUUUUCAUGAUCCAGUGUCCCAGUUAUGUUGAAUCUGACCGUGAACACUUCUGUUUGGCUCAGUUGCUAAUCUCAGAGCUAAAGAUGGACAAGGGGACCUAUAAGUUUCCCAACUGCCUGCAACUAUAAGUGACCUUGUGCGUGUUUGUGUAUGUGUGUGUUUUUCUCAUGAGAUGGUUGAUUGCCUUUGUCAGCAUCUCAGAGUAGUUCUGUGGCUCUGAACCCCAAAAGGUAUAAGGCCUAUGGAAGAAUAGCUCCUACAGUGUCUAUCAUCGCAGUAACAUACUUGUUCUUCCUAAAGGAGAAUGUAAGAAAAAGUUGUCUUGGUCCCUCUGUAGCAACUUUUUCUUUUUCUUCUCACUUUUUCUUCUCUGUGCAAUCAUCUGUGACCCUCUGAGUCAUGUCCCAGUGCUCUCUGGGGAAAUUAUUGUCUCAGAGUUGUUAAUUGUAAGAUGUAAAAAUAUAUUACCUCUCCCCACAAACUCUUUUGAUCUGCACUUACAGCAAACAAAGAAUAAGGGCUGAAACCAAAGAAUACAUCUGCUAAGAGUUUUCGGCAUGAGGUCUCUGGAUCAAGAUCAGUGUAGGGUACCUCCUCAUGCUUACAAGUGAUGUGUACAUGUGUAGCUAAUUGAGGCUUGAUCUUUCCUUAAACUUUGGUGACCAGAAGGACACAAUUCUAGUUCAACAGCAGAAAAAUCAGCCACAUUUGCAGAGAGGGCAAAUAAGGGUUGGUGAAUUUUCAUAUUCAUUUUUAUUCUGAUCACAUAACCUUAUCUCUAAAUUGUAUAAUUUUAUCUCUUAAAUGACCUUAGACCAUAUAAAGAAUUACAUCUGUGACCUCUCUACAUAGAAAAAUGGUAGGAAAAGGCCAGAAAUGCUUUUCAUGCAUUUCCUAUAACAGAAGUUCAUUGUCCCUAAGGAACAGGUCCAGUAGGGGAGCAGCCAGCAGCCUUUGAGCUCACACUACACUUUUGCAGCACAGAGCAGCCUACAGCAUCUCCAUCAGCCCUUCCCACCUAUGGACCACCUGCCAAAGGAUACUUCACACUUUCCUUUCCUUACCUUCCCCCUGCCUGGCCCAUCUUGGUGUUCCCUUGGGCAUACCUGAGGUUCUUCCAGCCCUCUUCCCUGUCCCUGCAGCCUUCCUUUAAAAAUACUCCCCUGUUUUCUGAGGAUAUUAAAGCCAUCCCCAAAUAAUAUUUCCACAUCAGCUUCUUUCUUCUGCAGAGAAGAAUGUGGUCAGCUAUCUGUUGUUGAUGCUGAGGAAAAAAAAAAAAAAAACUGUAUAAUGACACUGCUUAAGCAUGCCUGGAAAGAGAUCAUUUCAGAUAAUCUCUGCAGCCUUUGCAAGUCUAUGAUGAUGUUCCCAAAACCUAAUCAUCUGCCAUAUUUUGCCACUUUUCUGGGCAGCAGGGUGUGUGUGUGUGCGCGCGCACAUGCGUGUGUGUGUUCCAUUAGCAUUAAUGGGAAUUGGGAGCACUUAAGAGGUGGCAAGCCUUUCUCUAGAGAUGCAAUUUUGUGCAUUAAAAUAUCAAAACAUGAGAGGCUACACACUGAUGUGCACUGGGUUCUUAUGAUUGGCUCCAUUAGCACUAAUGGAAUGAGGCCUGUAUUUCCCUGCCACACCAACAGGACAGAUGUAUAAACGCUUGUGCCUCUGCAGGCCCAUGCUUGUUGCCUGACCUCAUCCUUGCAUGUAGUCUGCUUUGCUUUUCAAAUCCAGCUGGAUAAAUACAACAAACACUCUUGAUUGACUAGAGUUACCAGGUCUUUACCCUGGAUAUUGGCAGUCUUUAGGGUAUGGCUUUAAACAAAUGCAUGUGACUGAUGUCAUAAACCACAUUAUGAACAUUUGUCCAAUCCAUUUAUUAUUACAGCUUCCACAGAAAACACAAAGCAAAUCAAGAAUAUCCACUUUCUACAAAAGCAGAUGCAAAACGUUGAACCUCAAAAAUCUGUGCAUGUUGCACUCCCAUGUUGCCUAGGAUACCAUUUGCCCCCAUAGAGAUAUUGUCCAGAUCAAUUUCCUUAAGCUUCACUUGCCUUCCUUCUCUCAUGGUGAAAUUUGUAUUAAUUGUUUUCCUUUUGGUAUCUUUUCCCUCUUUUUCUUUAUGAUAUCCUCUUUAUAUUAAAUAUUUUGUGUACUUAAUAUUUAUUUGUACAAAAAUUAAAAGAGGUACAGCAUUUUAAGGAGGAAGAUAACAUGUUCAAAUUAUCCACUAAGAACCAUUAGUCAGCAAGGAAUAAAAAUCAAAGAUCCAAGGAAAAUUAAGCUAUAAAGUGUAGCCAUUAAAAUCAUGGAAUUAAGUAUCCCUGUGUUCCAAUCAGAAGUUUAAUGUGUGAUUUUAAUCAAGUCAUUUAGCCUUUCCUGUCUUCACAUCUGCUAAUAUAAUAUAUAUCUACCUUUUUGUUACACUUCAGAUCAGAAGUCUACAGCUAUGGUAAUGCUACAUGAAACAAGCACAUUAGAAUUAAAGUGAUUUAUAAUGAUAAACUCAUAUUCUUGCUUUUGAAUCUCUGGAGUGUUUGGAAUUUCCUACAAGUCUGGUCUUGGCCUGACUGACUUAUUUAUACAUGUUUGGUGAGUUAGUUGGUUAGUCUGAUCUGGAUAGUUAUUUUAGUUCAUUCAAUGUGCUUUAGCAAAUAGCCAUAGACUAGGUGGCUAGUGAGCAACAGAGGUUUAUUCUUCAUCUUUGGAAGUCCCGGAUCAGUGUGGCAGCAUGACUGGAUCCCGGUAAGGGCCUCCUUCCAGGUUGCAGACAGCUGACUUAUUACUGUGUUCUCAAGUGAAUAGAGCCUCUAGAGUCUCCAUUACAAGGGCACUAAUCUCCACCCUCAUGGUCUAAUCACAUCACAAAGCCUCCACUUCCUAAUGCCAUCCCACGAGGGGUCAGAAUCUCAACAUAUGAAUUAGCAGUGGUACAUCUGUGAUGUUCUCCUCAGGAAUGUCUUCUCUGUACUCCAUAUCAACCUUCAUCUUCCAGCUGGCUUCCCCAGCCUCAUUCUUCUGGUGGCAGAGAUCCAAGAGAGAAUAGCAUUGGAUCUGGCCUCCUCGUCUGGCAAUUGUUGCACAAUCAUGUGCUCUGUAUGUUAGUGGUCCAAGCCAUUCUCCUAGGCGCAAACUCAGAGGAUGAAGAAAUAGAGUCCAUCACUGGACAGAACUUCCUGCAAAAUCACACACUGGUGUGAUAAAGGAAGAAUAAUGGAUCAGAACUACUACUCAGGAAGUCUCCCAUGAACCGGGAUGGGAUUGGCUACUCAUGUGGGAUCACUUCUGACCUGGGACACAAAGCACAGGCACUGAACUCACUACUGAAAUAUGAAGAUUUCUCCAGAUUUAUGGAAACCAGAACUGAAAUAAUAAUUGAUUGGAUCCUUGUCUACCUCACUGAAUUUCCUAAAACUGAUCUCCUGCUUUUGCGGGUGGACCAUUCUGGAUCCUGCAUUAAUGUGUGCUGCCUACAGAUACUAUUUACCUCUGCCUAAUUAACCCAUCUGCACCUUCCACUGACACAGCCUGAAAUUUUCUUCCACCACAUGAAUCAAGAACCUACUCAAUGGGGGAUGGAAGAGGAGCUAGCUGGGCAAUAAUAACAGAACAGUCAAAUCUAUUCCAUGUGAUGGAUAAUGUGCAACAUACAAGGAUGAUCUUGCUGGGAUUUACCACCUGCACUAAAGCUACACCUGGCCUUUUUGCACGGGAAUGUUAGAAGUGUGCCCAAUUUCUGCCAGUUCAGAAGUAACAGCACUAGACACUGAGUCUCCACCCGUACAUUGCCUACUCUACUGCUUUGUACUGCUGCACAGUUCUGUGUUCUUGCAUGUGCUGUUUAGUUUCUAAUAUAGCAUUCUAGUUAACUUUUCUCAUUACUCAAUUUUUAAUGUUAGAAUUUCCAAGCAGGCUAGAAGCUUUGCUCCUUUCCAUUUAUGAAUUCUUCAUUCCUGUAGGAGGGCUGGACAUCCACAAAGCACCAUACAAUCUUUCACUGCCCCGCAACGUAGGGGCCUCUCUUCCUGGCUAAACUCCUGACCUCAGGCUGAUCUUUAUGCCAAGUCUGCACUCAUCCCUUCAGACCCAAACAUGCCCACAGCACCUUCUGGGAAUCACCCUCUCUUCUCAACACCCUGACUCUGCCCCAAGAAAAAUUUGAUGCUUUCAUAGGGAAUCUUGUCCUCUCUCCAUUUGAAGGUUCCAAGGACAGUUUCUGCAUUCUCCCAGGCUCCAUAUGUUCAUUCAUACAUCUUCAUUCCUAGCAUCUCCUCCCAAGGCUUGAGCUGUCCUUCUUCCCAAUCUGGUCACACACCUCUGACUUUUGGAAGGCUCAAAGCUUCCUCCAACACCUGAAUUCCCUUUUAACCUUGCUGUGUCUGCCUCCCAGGAUUACCCCACAGACUAAUGUUUCUCCCAGCAGCCUGUAGAGACCAAGGGGCUUCAUAAGCAACCAACUGUAUAUUAAGACCCCCUUCCCUCCAACAAUGAUACUACCUACUGGAGAUUCCCAGAUUCCACAAGAGGCUUUAGAAAGAGAUUGCUUUUGACACAGACCCAUGAGAAAAGUGGAAGCUUCACAAAGCACACUUAACCAUGAGCAAAAGGCUUCUGAAGCAUUUGUGCAUAAUUUCCUCUCUUAAAAAAAAAAAAAAAAAGACUAAUUCUCUAGGAAAAGCUGCAUGGGGACCACUUAUUACCAUUUGCAUGGACAUUGCAUUUCCCCCUUGCUGUCUCUGACCAGCUCUUGAGAGCUUCCCAAAUUGCAGGGGUGGCGGGAGGGGGGGAGGUUUACCCCUGGGACAGAGGGAUGCAAAUGAAACAGAAGAAAGAGGCCAUGCAGACCAGAGGAAGGCGCCAGCAUCUGCCCUCAGUUCUGACAUUGCUGUUUCCAUUUAUGCAUUUCCAUCUCCCAUCUCCGCCUAUCCGACAGUAUUGCAGCAACUUACUCAGCCCCAGAUUCCCCAUGACACGAUCAGCAUGUUCUAAUGUGUGUCCAUGGGCUCUUCCUUUUCUCUUCCUUCCUCAUGUUUUUGAGUCUGACCAAUUUCUACUGCUGGUGGCAGCUAUGGCCACUUUAGAACCUUUCUUUAGUACACAGGCACUAUGCCGUGUACAACUGUUGCGUUAAAUAAUGUAACGCUAGUUAGUCCUAUGUGCAGAAUUUGUAGAAAAGUACCUGAAAUUUUUUAGUAAGCUUUUAAAGUAGCUGAAAUAUUUUAACAGGCUCUUUAAAAUAUGCCAAAAGUAGAAUACUAAAUCUCAUGAAGGAUUAAGUUCCUUAAAUAGUUUUGUUUAAAAAAAAUCUGUGUAUAUUUAUAUUAGUAAAAUAUAGAUACAGAGUAUAGAUAGCAUAUAUAUCUAAUAUAGAAUAGUAGUAAUCACUGAAUAAAAGGCAGGACUCUUGCUGAGAGAUGAUAAUCAUGAAAGUAACUAUUUAUAUUUUCUUUAAAAAUUUGUUCUCUGAUAGAUCAUUUCUUCUUUAACUCCAUAAUAAAACUUAGCAACCCAAUGGCUUAUUUCAACUGUGUAGCAAAAAUUCCUUCUCACUCUAAAUCAAGAAGCUAUUAAAAUGUCCAACAUUUGUAACUGUCCAAGCUGUCAACUGAGUUUGGAUCAGAGCUCACUACUUGGAGGAAUUUAGAUUCUAUGUGGUCCCUUUUAGGCCAGUGCAUCUCAAUCCUCACUGCAUUGUUAAAACUACCUAGAGAUCUUUUAAAAAUCCCAGUGCUCGCGCUCCACAAAGACUGGUUUCAAACAAGAAUAUAAAUCAUGCAUUAGCAUUUAUAUAAACCUGGGUUAUUCCAAUGCAUAGCCAAUGCUAUGAAUUCAUGCUGUAGGCAGUAGCUGAAGAAUUUAGCAUUGUCCAGACUGCUAUAUCCAGCUCUAAAUAGUAAAAGCCCAUACUUUAGUGUAACUCCUUAGUCAGGAGAGGAAAUAGGUGAGUUAGGAGAGGACUGAAAUACUAUGCAGAGUUAGAGGUCUAGUUUUUGGCUUUUUUGGGAUACUUACAUUUUGAAUUUCUAUGCUAUGCUAAAGUUUGGGUCAGGCCACUAAGUGAUCCAACUAUGUGAAAAUACAGAACAUAAAGAGGAACACCAAGCCUCCAGGUCUGAGGGGGAGUCCUCCUGGAUCCUUCUGCCCAUUUCACCUUUGAAGCCCUUGCAGCCUCCUGGGGACCUCAUGUAAAAUCUGUGGCAGAACUACCUAGCCAAAUCCAGUACAGACUGAAAAGCCAGAAUGACAUAAGAUUAUCAUUAUCUUAAGACACUGUUUUAGGCCAAAGAGAUAUAUAGCAACAGGUGACAAUUAUUUACUGUAGUUUCCUAUCCCAUCCAUAGCGUCCACUGUGACUGCCACUAAAACUACACCAGCAAGUGCAAGAACUAGAAAUACAAGUGAAAGAUUCUCAUUCAGAAUUCAGCCAUCAUGAACUGGACCACUCCUUUACUAGUCAAAUAAAAUCCCUGAACUCUAGAUAUCCAACCUAUGUUUCUUAAUAUCAGCUAUAUUCUGAAUCAAAAUAGACAGUUUUGUUCCUUAACAACAGAUAUCAAAAAUCAUUAAAGAAAAAAAAAAAACAGCUAGGCAUAGAAGGUUUCUAAACAAAGAAAUAAAAUUCACAAAAUCUGUGUACUUUCUUCAGAGGUGAGAGGCUCCCUCCAUCAGUGUGCUCUAAUUUUAGAUAGUUCUACCUUAACAUGAAUUUUUGGAUUUCUGGCCAUAUUUGACUGGGUGGAUGAUACACUGGAAGUACAUUAAAACUUAAUAUUAGACAAGUAAAAAGUUUAAAAAAGACAAAAUCUAAUAAAAAAACAAAUAUUCAACUGGAGAAUUUGGAGCGAUUUGAUGUAGAUAUUUACAGCCCUUUCACCAUGGGAAGCCAUAGUACUGAAAUACAAUACCAAGACCAAUUAACUACCAGUGGCCUUCCAGAAUCAAUGAAAGUUUGAUAUUCUCUAUUUCAUAAUAGUUACACCUCCUAACUUGUAGAAUUCUGUAAUGGUUAUCAAUCCAGAUAAUUUUCUAAGAGGAAAAUCACAAAUUCUUCAUUUUUCAUCAUUCAUAUUUGUUCCAUAUGACCUUAGUCGAUCUGACUGCAUGAACCUACAUGAGAGCAAGAAACUCAGUUUUGCCCUGUUAGUUCAUUCCUUUUGCUGGGGGCAGGGAGUGUACAAUCUAUUAUUAUUCCUUAAGAAUUUGAUUCAUGAUUUUUUUUUUCCAUAGUCAACUGAGAAGAAUGUCUUCCUUUACCCCAAAUCAGACCUCUAAAAAUAUUUCAAGUCCUGGGUGGAUGCUAUAGAUGGAAGUAUGUUAACUGAACCUAUCUUUCUUCUACUUACAAAGAGUCUUUUUAAGAACAAAGCUAAAAGAAAGGAAGAAUCUCCAAGAGGUGGGGAGAAAUACAAAAUUCCAGAGAAUGCUGAACUCCUGAAUCUGAUCCUAGCUUUAUGUUGUGAAUUUCUUGGACAGAGGCAAUUUUAUAGCUUCCUUUCCACUCAUGGUAAUUGUAAUUAUUCUACUUUGUCUUGCAAAUAAAGACUCCAUACUAGCAGCCCA